CCAAUAGCGUAUAUUAAAGUUGUUGCAGUUAAAAAGCUCGUAGUUGAAUUUCGGGAUUAAUAUGCUGGUCGUGCCAUUGGUACGUACUAGUAUUAUUGAUUUCUCCCUUCUGAUGAAUCAUGAUGUCAUUAAUUUGAUGUCAUGGGGAAUCAGGACUGUUACUUUGAAAAAAUUAGAGUGUUUAAAGCAGGCUCGCGCUUGAAUACAUUAGCAUGGAAUAAUGAAAUAGGACGUUUGAUUCUAUUUUGUUGGUUUCUAGGAUUGACGUAAUGAUUAAUAGGGAUAGUUGGGGGCAUUAGUAUUCAAUUGUCAGAGGUGAAAUUCUUGGAUUUAUUGAAGACUAACUACUGCGAAAGCAUUUGCCAAGGAUGUUUUCAUUAAUCAAGAACGAAAGUUAGGGGAUCGAAGACGAUCAGAUACCGUCGUAGUCUUAACCAUAAACUAUGCCGACUAGGGAUCGGAUGAUGUUAAUUAUGACUCAUUCGGCGCCUUACG
rnacentral:misc_RNA from 1 species